rnacentral:rRNA from 1 species
GAUGAACGCUGGCGGCGUGCUUAACACAUGCAAGUCGAACGGUGAAGGCGGAGCUUGCUCUGCUGGAUCAGUGGCGAACGGGUGAGUAACACGUGAGCAAUCUGCCCCUGACCCUGGGAUAAGCGCUGGAAACGGCGUCUAAUACUGGAUACGAGCUGCUAAGGCAUCUUCAGCAGCUGGAAAGAAUUUCGGUCAGGGAUGAGCUCGCGGCCUAUCAGCUUGUUGGUGAGGUAAUGGCUCACCAAGGCGUCGACGGGUAGCCGGCCUGAGAGGGUGACCGGGCACACUGGGACUGAGACACGGCCCAGACGCCUACGGGAGGCAGCAGUGGGGAAUAUUGCACAAUGGGCGAAAGCCUGAUGCAGCAACGCCGCGUGGGGGACGACGGCCCUCGGGUUGUAAACCUCUUUUAGCAGGGAAGAAGCGAAAGUGACGGUACCUGGAGAAAAAGCACCGGCUAACUACGUG